UAACUCGGAUGUCUGAUUUUGCUA
rnacentral:siRNA from 1 species